rnacentral:lncRNA from 10 species
AUUAUUGACUAACUCUUGAUUACACUGAGAAAGAGUGGGACUAUUGGCAACCCAUGCUUUCAUUUAUCUUACGAGUGAAACACACAUUUUUCUCUGUCCCCUAGGGACCAAAAAGAAUGCUGGACACUGAGUCAAUCAGACACUUGCUUUUUCUUCAAGGAGUUGACAGACGGAUACCGACACCUAAACAGAGAGUAUCCCAAUGUCCUAUCCUAGAUUCCUCUAGCAAGAAAGGAAGUGAAAAAGGAAAAAAAGAUCUACUAGCAAUUACAGGAAGUCAAAAUGGAGCAAAAUUGCAUUCAUGCAAAGAGCUCAAAGAAGACAACUAAUCUUUGUUCUAAAUACAACAUGGGAUCCUCACAGGUGGGCACAUUAGAAAAGACCACUGAUCAAGGACCAAUCACUGCAGCAAGUAUGUGAGUUCCAUAGGUAUAUCUGAAUUUCAAAAAUAAAAAGAUGCUCUCAAUAAUUCAAAGUUAUUUUUGAAGUUUUCAUACUUGAAGAUAAU